UACGGGGGGGCAAGGCGUUGUUCGGAAUUACUGGGCGUAAAGGGCUCGUAGGUGGCCAACUCAGUCGGACGUGAAAUCCCUCGGCUUAACCGGGGACUGCGUCCGAUACUGGAUGGCGUUGAGAUCGGGAGAGGGAUGCGGAAUUCCAGGUGUAGCGGUGAAAUGCGUAGAUAUCUGGAGGAACACCGGUGGCGAAGGCGGGUCUCUGGGCCGAUACUGACGGCUGAGGAGCGAAAGCGUGGGGAGCAACAGGAUAGAUA
rnacentral:rRNA from 1 species